AACGAACGCUGGCGGCGUGCCUAACACAUGCAAGUCGAACAUGAUUGGAAGCUUGCUUCCAUGAAAGUGGCGCACGGGUGAGUAACGCGUAGAUAAUCUGCCUGGUGAUUCGGGAUAACACUUCGAAAGGGGUGCUAAUACCGGAUAAGCCCACGGAGUCCUUGGACACUGCGGGAAAAGGGGGGGACCUUCGGGCCUUCUGUCACCAGACGAGUCUGCGUACCAUUAGCUAGUUGGUAGGGUAAAGGCCUACCAAGGCGACGAUGGUUAGCUGGUCUGAGAGGAUGAUCAGCCACACUGGAACUGAGACACGGUCCAGACUCCUACGGGAGGCGGCAGUGGGGAAUUUUGCGCAAUGGGGGAAACCCUGACGCAGCAACGCCGCGUGAGUGAUGAAGGCCCUUGGGUCGUAAAGCUCUGACAGAGGGAAAGAAGUGUAUUGUGGCUAAUACCCAUGAUACUUGACGGUACCCUCAAAGGAAGCACCGGCUAACUCUGUGCCAGCAGCCGCCGUAACAC
rnacentral:rRNA from 1 species